UUCCGGCUUCUUGGCUUCUGAUUGGUUGGUUCAGGAAAAUGAAUUCUAUGACGCUGUUGUAAAACCACCUCUGAUUGGGCCGAUCCAAAAGCGGUGAUAACAAGCUGGAGAGUGUCAGAAGCAGGAAAUCUCCCUCAUUCUACAGAAAGACGGGCAAAGGGUUAAACCAGAAAAGCUGCCUCGUUUUACAAAAAGACUGCAAAGGUAAACAUUUUUUAAUUUUACCCUGAGCUUUAUUGUAUUUUUCUUAGCCACUUUUUUAUAGAGUUUUUACCCUGUGCUUACAGAACAGGCUUUCUCUUUGUCAAUUUUCCUUUUAAAAC